GCAGUAGCAGGCGUACUGUCUAGGUGACGGCUGCUCCGCUUUUGCACCCUGCUCUAGAAGGAGGAGGUGGUGACCGCGGCGGCGACGACGCAUUUGAAUAUCUGCCCUAUCAACUUUCGAUGUUACUUUCUGCGCCUACCAUGGUGACCACGGGUAAUGGGGAAUCAGGGUUCGAUUCCGGAGAGGGAGCUUGAGAAACGGCUACCACAUCCCAAGAAAGCAGCAGGCGCGCAAAUUACCCACUCCAGACGCGGGGAGGUAGUGAC